GAGGAAAUCACAGAUCUGGGCCUUUUCAUAGUCUCACUUUAAACUCUGCCUUUGGACUUUGAACUAUUCCCUUGGACCCUCAGUUUAAUGACUUCUAUCCACAAGCACAACUCUUAUCUGCAGCAAGAAAUAUUGAAUAUGGGCUCCCGCAGAGGCUCCACGGGAACCAGAUUGCCCAGGGCACACGGUUCAGCUGCACCAACAGCCAGUGCAGAGAAGUUACCAGAUGGAGAUACUGGGGUCCUAAGUCUGUAGCUGAUUACACAGCAUCCCAGAUACAAAAGUGGAGCCACCGGCCCGAGCCCGUGGAUAUCUUCCCCAUAGGACUGUACUACUCAUCUGUGGAGUCCUCCUCCUCCUCCUUAUUUUCUUUUUAGGUAAGUUCUGUUCUUUUUAUUAAAUCAUAAAAAUGAGCAUUGAUC
rnacentral:lncRNA from 1 species